rnacentral:rRNA from 1 species
GGGGAAUUUUGGACAAUGGGCGAAAGCCUGAUCCAGCAAUGCCGCGUGCAGGAUGAAGGCCUUCGGGUUGUAAACUGCUUUUGUACGGAACGAAAAGGCUCUGGCUAAUACCUGGGGCACAUGACGGUACCGUAAGAAUAAGGAUCGGCUAACUCCGUGCCAGCAGCCGCGGUAAUACGGAGGAUCCGAGCGUUAUCCGGAUUUAUUGGGUUUAAAGGGUGCUCAGGCGGGGGAUUAAGUCGGCGGUGAAAUUUUGCAGCUCAACUGUAAAAGUGCCUUCGAAACUGGUUUCCUUGAGUGCGGAUGAGGUAGGCGGAAUUUGUGGUGUAGCGGUGAAAUGCAUAGAUAUCACGAGGAACUCCGAUUGCGCAGGCAGCUUACCAAGCCGUAACUGACGCUCAAGCACGAAGGCGUGGGGAUCAAACA